rnacentral:lncRNA from 1 species
AAAUAAUCUCUACUAAAUAACAUUUUUUAUAAUUAUAUUAUACUUUAAAACAUUUUGAUUGAUUUGACAUGUUAUUGAUUGACAUAAUAAUAGAGGUUUUAAUUUUUUUAUAAAGAGUUUUAUAAUCUCUUCAUAUUAUAAUACAUUUUUUCCUUUUCUUCCCAUAUAUUUUACCUUUCUUCUCUCUCAAAAGUUUAUACUUUAUUUUUUUUCUUAAAAUUCCAAAACCAUCUAACUUAAGUAGGACUCCCAAAUUUUACAAAAUUUCAACCCUUCAUUGUCCCUCCCAAAUUUCUCAUUCCUUCCUCCCUCUCAAAAUUUCGCACUCCUUCAUCACUCUCGAAACUUCUUAAUAUCAUUCUCUUUCUUCCUUUCUUCCUUCUUCCAUUUCCUCUUCCCAUUCC